GAUGAACGCUGGCGGCGUGCCUAACACAUGCAAGUCGAACGGAAAGGCCCUGCUUUUGUGGGGUGCUCGAGUGGCGAACGCGUGAGUAACACGUGUGUAACCUGUCCUUGACUUUCGGAUAACUUCAGGAAACUGGGGCUCAUACAGGAUAGGAGCUCCUGCUGCAUGGUGGGGGUUGGAAAGUUUCGGCGGUUGGGGAUGGACUCGAGGCUUAUCAGCUUGUUGGUGAGGUAGUGGCUUACCAAGGUUUUGACGGGUAGCCGGCCUGAGAGGGGGACCGGGGACAAUAGUACUAAGAUACGGCGCAGACGCGUACGGGAGGCAGAGGGGGGAAAUAUUGCGCAAUAGGCGGGAGCCAGUGACAACAACGCCGCGUGCGUAAUAACGGCCUUCUAGUGAUGAACCGCUUUCGCCUGAGCCGAGGCGUGAGUGACGGUAAUUGAUAAAAAAGCACCGGCUAACUACGUG
rnacentral:rRNA from 1 species